rnacentral:rRNA from 1 species
UACAGAGGUCUCAAGCGUUGUUCGGAUUCAUUGGGCGUAAAGGGUGCGUAGGCGGCGCGGUAAGUCGGGUGUGAAAUCUCGGGGCUUAACUCCGAAACUGCAUUCGAUACUGCCGUGCUUGAGGACUGGAGAGGAGACUGGAAUUUACGGUGUAGCGGUGAAAUGCGUAGAUAUCAGGAGGAACACCGGUGGCGAAGGCGCUCAUCUGGCCCAAUACUGACGCUGAGGCGCGAAAGCUAGGGGAGCAAACGGG